GUCAAGAUAUCUCUGCAAGGAUAGAGGACUCUUUUGGGAUAGCUCGUUGUUAUCUCGAAACUCGCUGGAGAAUCCGGUUGGCUGAAUAUCCAAUGAUAAACGUCCUGAAACAAAGGGAAAAAAUUCUCAAAAGAUCGAAAUAUUCUAAAUACCUGUCUCGACGUGCUUGGAUCAAAUUAAUUUCAUUACGAUCUAUGAUAGUUUGCAACCGUGACAUUAAAUCAGCGGGAGAUGGUGCGCCUUCCAAUCUGUAAGAAAAAA